UGCGUAGGCGGCUUUGCAAGUCAGAUGUGAAAUCUAUGGGCUCAACCCAUAAACUGCAUUUGAAACUGUAGAGCUUGAGUGAAGUAGAGGCAGGCGGAAUUCCCCGUGUAGCGGUGAAAUGCGUAGAGAUGGGGAGGAACACCAGUGGCGAAGGCGGCCUGCUGGGCUUUAACUGACGCUGAGGCACGAAAGCGUGGGAGCAAACA
rnacentral:rRNA from 1 species